rnacentral:rRNA from 1 species
UACGUAGGGGGCAAGCGUUGUCCGGAUUUAUUGGGCGUAAAGCGCACGCAGGUGGCUGAGUCAGUCGAUUGUGAAAGCCCUGGGCUUAACCUGGGAAUUGCAGUCGAUACUACUCAGCUAGAGUAUGGGAGAGGGCAGUGGAAUUCCCGGUGUAGCGGUGAAAUGCGCAGAUAUCAGGAGGAACACCAGUGGCGAAGGCGGUUGCCUGGAGCUUUGCUGACGCUGAGGCGCGAAAGCGUGGGGAGCGAUCCGG